GGGGGCGCACUGGUUUCGACUCGUAGUUUGAAGCGCAGGCGGCAUGUCGAGGAUGGUUCGUUGGCCUCGUUAAAAUCCGGACCAAAACAAAUAAACGCAGAUCACCAAGAUCUCGCUCUCGCGGCUUAAUUGACCGUGAUGUUCCCGGUUGGACGCCUGUUACGGCCGGGAACAUGGACAGCAGGCUAAUCGGACGGCGGAGUGACCGCGCCGGACGGUGAAGGAUUUCGUGGACGCUCGGGAGACGCAGUGUGCCGGCGCAGCCUUCGGCUCCUUAAAAAUAAAUCACCGGCUAAACAUGUAGAAGCUUGCGUAGACAGCUUCGAGGACAGGGGUUCGACUCCCCUCGCCUCCACUU
rnacentral:tmRNA from 1 species